rnacentral:rRNA from 1 species
UACAGAGGGGGCAAGCGUUAUUCGGAAUUAUUGGGCGUAAAGGGCGCGUAGGCGGCUUGGCAAGUGGAUGGUGAAAUCCCUCGGCUUAACCGAGGAACUGCCAUCCAGACUGCUUUGCUUGAGGCCGGGAGAGGUGAGUGGAAUUCCCAGUGUAGCGGUGAAAUGCGUAGAUAUCUGGAGGAACACCGGUGGCGAAGGCGGCGUUCUGGACUGCUACUGACACUGAGGAACGAAAGCCAGGGGAGCAAACGGG